rnacentral:rRNA from 1 species
GAUCCUGCUCAGGAUGAACGCUAGCGACAGGCUUAACACAUGCAAGUCGAGGGGCAUCAUGAGGUAGCAAUACCUUGAUGGCGACCGGCGCACGGGUGAGUAACGCGUAUGCAACCUGCCCGAUACCGGGGUAUAGCCCAUGGAAACGUGGAUUAACACCCCAUAGUACUUUUAUCCUGCCUGGGAUGGGAGUUAAAUGUUCAAGGUAUCGGAUGGGCAUGCGUCCUAUUAGUUAGUUGGG